GAAAUCUUCAAGAAUAAAAAUGCAUCCAAAUAUAAACAGAGCAACUUCACGCCACCAAAAUAUAAAGAGCCUACACGACAAGGCCAGAACAAACCGCACUUAUUUAGGUGUCAGGCUGUCAGACCCAAAUACAUCACCCUAAACACCAUGUCAAACCAUGUCACGCUUACAAAUAACAUAGAAACAGAAAGGGAAGAUACAUAGAUAUAGGGAAAGAAAGUUCCAUCCACUCUAGAAGAGGUGAUGAUGCUUCUUCCCAUGAGAUUCCUCAGCUUCCUCCUUGGCUUCCUUCUUCUCAUGGUGCUCAUGAAAGGCAUACCCUCCGCUGCCCACCGCCAUGGCCGCAGCCACCUCCUCCUCAAUCUUAUGCUUGUGUGCAUGCUCCGGAUCCUUCUUGGCCUCAUGCUUCUCAUACUGAAACAUUGGUUGUGAUAAAAUCACAAACAAAAUCACAAUGUUUAAUUACCAAUCGAUCUCUAGAUUUUGAUAUGGAUAAAGUGAAGCUUAAAAAAGUGUGCAUGCUCCGGAUCCUUCUUGGCCUCAUGCUUCUCAUACAAAAAAUAAUUAUAACCAAAUUAAGAACAGUGUUGUUUUCUUAACAUUAUCAUCUUUCGUUUUCUAUUAUACCAAAUAAUAACAAAAAAGGCCCGUUAUUUCCGUUAUAACAUUAUCAUCUUUCCUUCUUUUGGUGGACCCCAGGAGUCGUGGAUACAUGUCAAGCAUGACGAAUACCAGUCUAGAUUUUAUAGAUCUUCCUCUGUACCCGAUGAUCAAUAAUACAACCCACAAGACAAGAAGAAGAAUGGUAUGGUGCUCUGCGGGAACAAGUUAAGAUGUGAGAUGAAUAAUACCAGAGCGAAGGCGCCGGCGGCUACCGCGCCCAUCUCGCCGAGAUGCUCCUUGUGCUUGUGGUGCUUCUCCGAGUACUCCACCGACUCCACGGGCUUUUCCUCCUCCUUCUGGUGGUGGAAGAGGUGGUGGUGGUGGUGCUUCUCCUCCGACAUCGGUGAUCGAUUGCUUAAAUUAGGCUGUGGUGAUGGUAUAUGGUAACGAGGGAAGGGUAGGGAGGGGGUAUAUAUAAGAGGGGAGGUGAUGGGACCGGGACGGAUGGACCGUCCUGAUUUGCGGGGAUCACGGAUCUGACGCGUUUUUCAGUUUUUAUAUAAAAAUUAGUUAAUUAGUGGCUAAGCAAAUCAGAUUUAUUUUAUAUGUUGUUAAUAGAUGAUAAGGGAAGACUUGCUUGAGCGUGGUGGGCCCUCGUUUCUUUUGACCUUUCUAAUCUUGUGGUCCGUCAAGGCGUGUGAAUGCUAUUGCCGACGCCCGCAGUAACAUAAAACGCAUAAUGUAGCAUUAAUAUCGAGUCACCAAAGUUCAGUACAUUCGAUGCGCAUAUAUUGCAUAUACUGUUAUAUAUUUAAACAUAGUUUUUUAUUUUUGUUAGGUAGGGUUGCAUGUGCUUUUUUUUUUCUUUAUCUUGAUGACUCUAAGACCACGCAUGCAAAAGAUAAAGAGAGGUGCAAGUAUUUUUUUUCCUUUUUUUUCAUUUCUAGAUUCAAGAUCAGUGGCCAAGGUUUCUAAAUUAUUAUGUAUAAUCUAUUUUAAAGGAAAACCAGAAGUUAGAUAGAUUAGUAUUUGAACUACAGUUUCUUUUCUAUACCUACGAAGGAGAAUUCUACUUAAAGGUUAAUUAAGAGAUGUUCCAUCUUGGAAGAGAAAACUCACUUAAAAAACAUAAAAGCAUUUAUUUGGAGCUCACUGAAACCUAGAGAUUGUUAUAGUACCUUUUGAAAUAUUGAGGCAAACGGAGACAUGAGUUAUUAAUGAAUUUUGAAUGAUUCACUUUUUUAUUGGAAAAAUAAUUCUAUGAGCUAUUCUUUGAUGCAUGAAAAUACAAAAUUAUUCAAUAAUUCAUGAUUUUUAUAUUUUUUUUAUAAAUCUUAUAAAUUAACCUCUUUCCUCUAUGCAUCCUCCUUUUUGAACUUUUAAUAUGAUACAGUUCAUAGUCUUACAUUUGUAAUUAAUGAAUAUUGGUUUUCUAAUAUUAGGUUAUAGGAUGGUGCAAUAAAAUUUCAUGGAAGACUUCACGCUAUCCGAGUGCAAAGUAAAGCAUCUUAAAAUUAGAAAACUGAAUAUAUUUAGUUUAAGCAGAAUUUUGCAAAUUCACUUUUUCCCCAAACUUUUUUGAUUUCUUUUUUCUUGAAUUGAAUAUGUCUAUUAUAAAUAUAGUUUUGCAACUUCAUAUUUUCAUCUUUUAAAAUUAUACAACUAAAUAUUUCUUAAUUUUGAAUAUGAAUGUGUCUAUUUUAAGUAAAAUCUUAUAUAUUUGCAUAUUCUCUUUGUCCUAUCAUCUUGCUUUCUUUUUAUGAGACCUAUAUUUUCUCCUUUUGAGACUAAAAGAGACUAUUUCCACUCUUUCCAGACUAAAACUCAUGCUCCAUGGUAGACCAAGCCAUUGCCCACAAAACCAGGUCAUGGUAUAUACUUGGAGGUCCAAGCGACCAAUGCUCUUUGCAAUUGAAUUUUGGCCGCUUAGCAUUUUAUCAUCCAAAACCAAGGUUGUCAUAUGGGCUUUCAGUUGCAAUAUCCUCUUAUCAUAACAACAUGAUAUCUUCUAGAGAAUGAGAAGUCCUAAAUUUUUGAAUGGUUCAAAUGCAUUUGCAAUUUUAUGAUUAGAUAUCAGCCUAAUAUCUUUUCCCCAGGUCAAACGAGUGGUGUUGACAAACUCAAGAUUGUCAUUAAACCGGUCAUCAACUUUUAUUUAAUAUCUCCCAACCAUCCUUUGCCGUUGCCGACCAGCCAGGGCCUGGGACUCGGAUGGCCGACUUACGUCGCCAGGAACAUUGCGGGCAUCACAGGUAGUCCUUUACCCAUGACGACAUCGUGGCUGUUAGAUCUCGAUCGGGUAUUAGGUUGAUUUUGUGAUAUCGGAGUCACAAUAUCUAUACUAAUAUGUAAUAAUUAAUAAACAUUUAUAAGUGAGUCAUAGCAUGCGAUAAAACAGCUCACUUCAAAACUUCAAUCCCACGUAGAUUUUAUAUAGCUCUCAUAUACAUCUAAGUCUUCCCCGUCGUCCAAACCGCGGAUCAUUUUAUCCAAGCCAAAAUAUUGUAGCCAGUGCAUACUAUAGAUGCAAAAAUGCUGCAGUUUUUUAGAGAUAAAUUUUAUUAAUUUUAUUUUUAUUAGUAUUUUAAUAUAAAAAAUAUUAAUAAUUCAAAAAGUAAAAGAGUCAUAAGAAUAAAAAUUAUCAUGUCAAACAGUGCUAUCCACCUUACAGCAUACCUCAAAUUCAAAUCAAAUAAAAAAUAAAAUGGAUUCUCCUAAUUUUUUAGUUUUUGCAAAUUUCUCCAACCCCCCCACUUCCGAAAAAAAAGGGAGAGUGAGAAGGGCCUCACCAGAUCUGAAGGCUCUUUCCUUCAUGCUGCAAACAUCCUCCUACGCUGCACCGAGACCCUCCUCUACUCUCCUCUUCCUUUCCCCCCCUUGUCUACUUCUCUCUCUUUCUCUCACCUCCUUUCACACGAUGUGGGGCAAAAGAUAGGCAGACCCUCUCACAGGAUGCAUAAAAGCGGAAGAGAGAAAGAGAAAGAGAGAGAGAGGAGAGAGGAGGGCUGCGGAAACCGGCCGAACCCGGCGGGCGGCGGCUGCGAAACCCAAAGGAAAGGAGAGCCGAAACAGAGUAAACAAGGAACCUUUCUCUCGCUCGAUUUCCGUCCGAUUUCUCGGACAGCGGCCGUGAUUCCAACUCGGGGGAAGAAGGGCAAGAAAAGGGGAAGAAGGCUAGGGUGAUACCUCGGCCCCGCCGGCGGCGUCCGGUGGUCUCGAUUUCCGGCGAACCCAACAAUGUGCAACCGCGAGCUCAGCGGGAAGAAGAAGAAGAAGAACGAGGGAGAAAUAACGGAGAUUGCUCGGGGAGGAGGCUUUGGAGGGAGAGGGAGGACUCACGAAGUCGGAUUCCUUCCGGCGAUAUCGGGAGGAAGAUGACUCUCAUCGGGACUCCUCUCCCCUCCCAGGCACGUGCUCGGCACGUGCCGUACUUUUUUUUUGUGUGUGUGUUUUGGCCCAAAUUCAAUUGGGCCGGUCAAAUGGCCCAGUAUGCUUCAAUCCUUCAUGGUUGUUAAUGCAAAUGUGGAUGAUGUUAAAUUCUUCAAGGCUUACAAACUCCCUUUCAUAUGGUCUGAAUGUGGAUACCUAAUAACUCCAGUACCCUUUCGCUCCUUUGAUAAACAAGCUUAUCCACCAUAUUUUAGGUGUACUGAGCGAUUAAAUUGGAUAACUUCAAGUUAUCUACCCUUUAGCCAGCAGCUAUAUAUGCUACACACAGCUAAAGACUCCCAAACAUGAAAUAUAGUAAAAAAUUAUUUCUUAAGUCCCUAAAUAAUUUUUUAGUUAUUUUCCGAAAUUCUUAUUUUUCUUAUAAAGUUAGUAGAAUUUGCUGAACUUUACAUGGAACAAGUCAUGGCAGUAUUAUUAUUUUGAGGUCCCUAGUCAGGCAUUCGAUUAUAUGGUGAUCUCGAUUCUCAGGUUUUAUGUAAAUGCCUCUAGAGCUCUUCGAUGAAAAUUUCUAUCCACAGUCCAAACCUUUUUUAAGAAAACAAGUGGCGUAAUUUUCUUUCAAAUUUAUAACUUCUCUGUACUAUUUUAGAAUAUGGAGCAAAAGAGGAUCGAGAAUUUACCAUUAGGUGUCGUUCCAUUGAACUUUGAAGUUGUAUUAUGUCAAAGUGAAAGCUGUCCCUCUUUGCAUCGAUGUAAGCAAGUUCUCAAAUGAAAUAGAUUGCUUGUCUUUUCUUUUUUUUUUUUAAAUUGAUGUAUUUUUUCUACUCUUUUGUACCUUGUACUUCUAAUGGCAGCUAAAGAGAUCUAUCAAAUACGCUGAGUCAAAAUUUUCAGACUGAGACAAACCAUGUUGGCACCUAUGAAAUAGCCCAAUAGUAGGAGGUCCUUUUUUCCCAACAAUAAAAGAAGGAAAUAAAAAAGGUAAUGAAUACAUUAAAGUAUUCGACCAAGCUAACCAAGACAAAGGAUGCUAGACCAGGAAUCUUAUUGUGAGCUACAAACUGUUAUUCGAAGGAAGCAAAACUAAUAUCACAGUCAUUAUUUUCUCCCUCAAACUCAAACAGGGUAGCUUCUAUGCUUCAGCUCAGUGAGGUAACUUUAAGACCUUGAUGUCCUUCCACAGGGAUUCCAUGAAGUAGGAGCUGUAAUUUUGUGCAUAAACGCCGCACUUGAAGUAAUGCGAGGCCCCUCCACGGUCUUUUGCAACCAGCUUCAGAUCUCCAUCAAUGAAAACCUUUAGCAGCCCUGUACCAACUUCAUGGAUCACAUUCACUCGAAACCAUCUCCCAUAGAUAUCGUCUUCUAUGAGCCGUGUUUUAUAGUACAUGAGUGCACCGUCGUAGAUCCUCAGCAUCAGUGCUGUAGCUGUGUUCGUCCGAUUGGCUCCAAAGACUUGCAUGAUGCACACACCGGUUGUCCCGCUUGGGACGUAAGCUUGUCCUUCGAAUUGCCACACUCCAGAAGAGUAGUCAUAUCCCUUCGAGAGAGAAAUCAUCAAGAAUAUGAUGAGACUAAGGGAUUCUUUAGUCAGUUUUAAAGCAUAUGCAUAUAAACAAACCUCAGCAAAACCAUUUUUAAUAGCCUAAUAUCAUAUGAACUGAGAGGAAUAACUUCUGGAGCGACUAGAUUUCCCAGAUAAAAUUGGCCCAAGAUUGGCUGGUUAGUUGAAUAUAUAUCAAGGUUUCUUAGUUAUCCUGCUUGACCUUUCGUGCUGAGGAAAUGGCAGCUUGGACCUCAUUUGUAUCACAGAAUUUAGGUUAGUUAACAUCUCGAUAACAGACAAAAACAGAAAAAAAAGUGGAAAAUAAUACAAAAAGGAGCUCGUUGUGCCUUUUUUUUUUUGUUAAGAAAGAGUUUUUUUUUCCUCGAGAAAGAGUUAGAAAUCCUAACGCACUUUCACCAAGGAAAAAAAAACCUUCUUCACCUAGAAUAGGAAGAGAUGCUGAAAAAAGAAGAGAAAUGCGAGAUAGUUGAGUUUUUUGUGAUUCAUACACGUAUCCGAAUCUCAGAACGAGGAGCAGUCGGACUCAUUGGAGAGAGGGGCUUGUCAGCAGACAGGACCCACAGCUUGUGAACACCAUUGGUGACGCUGUAUCGCUCGCUUACAGGGAGGUCAUAAGGUUUGUGAAUGUCGAAGCUGGAGCUGUUGAGAGGGAGAGAGAUGAAACCAUCCGUAGGGUCUGUGACCGGCCAUGCCACGACUCCUUGGCCAUGAAGCUGAACAAGAGCUACGUACAUCGACACUAAGAGGAGCAAGUAAAACUUCAUCUUUCUCUUACGGACGCAAACGAAGAGGAAAGGGAACCUCGUCUUAGAAGCAAUGUAUUACCAUCCUCACGCCCACAACUUUAUAGAGAAAGGGUUUACAUCUUGAGCUGCAAUCCGUGACGCCUGGCUAAAUUUUUAAAUAAGAGAUUUGUCGGUUCUCUAAUUAUAAUUCCCAGUUCAGCCAGCAACUUGUUUCCCAUUAUAAAUUUCUACUGCGUCCAUUAUAGUACUUGCAAGGUCUUCAAGAGUUCUGUUUGCUUCGUUAUUCUUGUCAUCACAAGAGUCAUUAGGAUGGAUAUCUUGAACCGUUCUUUACAAUUCAUUCUUUUCCAUAAUUCUUCCAUGAUUGUGGUAAGUUUUGUUGCUACUGGAAUUUGGAAGUAAGAGAGGAGUAGGUUAUUAGUGACUAUUAGGUCCCAUUAUAAAUGUCCAUUUGGAGAAACAAGAAAACUACAACAAUUAGUUGAGACAUUUCUACUAGUCCAUGACCUAGUACAAUGGCCGGCAGCAUGAGGUCUACAGACAUGACCGUGGCGACUGGCGACUAACCAAUUGAAACAAAUGAGCUGAACUACUUCAAUAGGAAAUUUAAUUAACAAGACUACACUUCAUUUAAAAGGAGUCAUGCUUAAUUUAGUUUACACCAACUUCUAGGAACCCUUGACCGCAACAUCAGGCCCUGUUUUGGCCCUGACACUGGGCCGGUGGCUGUGUCUCCCAAUAUCGCUAAGGGUUAGUUUAUACCUUCCUCUAUUCAUUUUUCCCCCGGAAUAUUUCCAUAUUACUUCCUAUAUAUCUCUCUAAACUGCUCCCUUGUCAUCUUGCAUUUGUUGGUAUGUUUUCAGCUCCUUGGUCAAAGCCUCCGUUAGUGCUCUUUCUCAAUAUAUUCUUCCCAUUGUACCACAGGGCAAGAGCUAAACCAACGCAAAAAUUCACCAUUGUGGUAAUGAUGCAAAGGUGGAACCACUUGUCACGCCCCGAACCUGUCAUUCGGUAGACCACAUGACAGGGCAACAUAAUUCCUAAAACGAAGCCAUAAAGAUCGUGCAAGACCUAAAAUGAACAAUAUCUAAAUAAUACCAAAAAUUUAAAAUAAUAAUUAAUAAUCAAUUUAAUCCAAUAAAACCACUAUAAUUAAAUAACCAACUUGCUCGAUUACAAGAUUCAGAUGUUCAUCGAUAUUAGAAAAAUAGAAAUAACUAACUAACUAAUAGUUCUACAGCUCAAACUCCGCGUCUCACCUAUCUGAAAUUACACAUCCUCUGACUCUGAAAAAAAAUGUAAAGAUAGAUAUGAACUUUUUCAGUCCAAUAACAAUCUCCAACCGCUACACUAUAAAUAAUCAGAUAAACAAUACUAGAUAAAAUAUUUACCAUAAUAAUAUUCAAAAAAUUCAUUCAAAACAACAAGCACAUAAGCCAUUAAUAUCCAUCUUAUCAAAGAAACACGCGCGCCCACACAGAUAUAUAUAUAUAUCAAAUUUAACCAAUUAUUUAAUAGUUUCAUACGCCAUGUGUCAUUUUUUCCUCAUUAUCUUAAUUUCCAAGUUUCGUAUUAAUUUUCUCUAGAUCUUGACUAACCAAAAUCAUAACCUAGUCCAAGACUGCUAAAUAAAAUCCCACGCAUAAGCCCGUGGAGAAUAUCCCACGCACAAGCCCGUGGAGGCUGUCACACACAUAAGCCCGUAGAGGCUAUCACACGCAAAAGCUCGUAGAGCCUGUCUCAUGCGUAAGUUCGUGAAAGCUAUCCUACGUGUAACCUGAUGGAGGCUAUCCCACGUGUAAACCCAUGGAGGCAGUCCCAUGUAUAAGAUCAUGGAGCCCAUGGAGGUUGUCCCAUAUGUAAGCUCAUGGAGACUAUUCCAUGCGGAAGUUAGUCAAACCACUUCUUAUCCAUCUAAUUUACAUGUUAUCUUUAUCGAAUCAAAUUCUAAUUACAUAGUGUAUUUCUUACAAAUUAAAGAUAUUUAUCAUCAUUGUUCAUAUAAUAAUGUUUUCAAUAAUUGAUAUCCUCAUAUAAUAAUCAUACAAGUAUGUUCAUACUGAAAAUGAUAUAAAACAUAUCAUCUCAUGCAAAACGAAAUCCAUAAAUACAAACCACACGAUGCAAAACCAGUGGUAUAAAUUCAAUAAAUAUGUAUAUAUACUAGUGAUCAGGUGCAAGGAUUCUUACCUCUACCAAAAAUAGACUCAAAUACAGCAAUUCACUAACCCGCUUCGCAAUCUACGAGCUGGGGUGUAGAGUACCCCAAUCAAUGCCUUCUUACACAGACAACUCUUUCCCUCCAGAAUCAAACUAAAUUAUCAAAAAAAGAAUUAUAUAGUAGACUAGUAACCUAGAUCGCCUACCGUUAUCCACUAGGGGUCCAUCACUAGAUCCCUCGAAUCCCUUCCAUCAAUUACCUGGAUCAACUAGAGAGGAAAAAUGGAGAGAAAGAAACAAUGAUAGAGAAAAGAUGAAGGAAAGAGAGAGCAAGGUAGAGAGAGGAGAGAGAAAGAAGGGAGAAACCUCUCUUCUCUUCUUCAUGAAGAAGGAAAGUUAUCUUUCCCUUCCUCUUCGGCCAGAACCUGGGGCAACCACGGCGGCCACGAGCUUCCUACAGCCACAAUCAUCGCUGAUGAUGGUGGCUAGCUGGCGUAAAGAAGAAGAGAGAGGAAAACAACAAAGAUAGAGAGGGAUCUACACUAAACUCAGCCUAGACCAUGGCCGAUUCUACUGUCCAAUGGUCACACGAUCUCAAAGGUCUCAAGAAGUGGUGAAACUCGGCUAAAUCUAGCAGCUCACGAUGGUGAAUAAAGAGAAAAGUAACCAAAACAGAGCAUUCCUGUUUUAGAUUAAUUUCCGGCGAUUCGCCAACUAGUAUCACGGUGGUAAUGGCCACAGGACUUGAAAAAGGAGAGAGAAAUGGACGAUGCUUACCUCAGUCUGGCGAGGUGAUCCGGUGGAUUUUUCAGUGAACAAUUAAGGGAGAAACUCGUAAGACAAGCUUGGGAUCGGAGGCUAUUCCUCGAGUUAUCGUGGAUAAUUUUCAACGGACGAGGUGGGGAACCUUAAAUAAAUGAGAUCCCUAGGUUUAGCUGGUGUUUGGAUUGCCUUAGAACUAUCAGAGUUCAGCGAUAUCGGGAAGGAAGAACUGGAGUCUUCUUCUCCGCCUCUCACCUGCAACAAGGCUUGCUCGAACACCAACAGACCCAGCCUCUUCAGGCCGGCCCACUAGCCCAAGGAAGCUAGGCUAUCACACCACUGCUCGAGCAUAUAUGUAUUUUCAUAUUUAGCAUGAUGUCAAAGCUCAUUUUUUUUCCAGAAAAACUGUGAAAAAGAUCAUCAUAUAUUUCGUCAGAGAUGAAAUAGAUACAGAAGAGUAAGAAAAUGGAAAAAAAGAGAAAGAAAGAAAGAAAAGAAGAGGCAGGGGAACCCAAGCAGCCGUUAUAUCAAGCCUGAUCCAUAAAACUAGCCCAAUUACUAAAACCGGGCCCAAUAAACAAAAAGUCCAACGAACCAAAUCACGGACGUACCUGGUCAACCCAAAACCAGUAUAACUAUUCAAAGUCCAUUUUGGCACCAGCUUAAAUUUUCUCAAAGCAAUGCAUAGGAUGUUAUUCUAGCAAGACAGUGCAUUGUUAAUAUGAAGAGGAUGAAAUCAUAUAGCAAGAAAAUUAUUAGUGGUUUGAGAUUUUAGAACCUGACAUAAUCUGAUCAAUGUGUUGUGAUCCUGGUUCUCAUUAUGAUCAAGUGGAAUUUUGAUCUCUGACCAUGAUUUUAUUUAUUUAUUUAAAAAUCUCUAACCACGAAUGCUAAUCCAACUCGUGAACCAUGUGCUUUUGUUACAUCAUUCGAGCACUUUAAAAUGGAUCCUUUGAUUUUACUCAAAAAAAAUCUAUGACAAUUAAACGAAAGAUUUGACUUCGCCUUGCUCAUGAAAGCGUUCGAGUGGUCUACUUUGUCGAGCUGACAAGCUCCCUUCGCUGGUUACAGCUUGCUUGGGUGGGAUGGUAAAGGUAGGCCAAGAGAGAAAAGAAGUUGAUAUCAAGUUCAGGAUAAGGCUCGAGGUAUCCUAUCUCCAUCCUGAGAAUUUUGAUCUUUGUCCAUAGCUUAGAACCAGACAAGAAAGUCUGCCCUUGUGCAAAGAUUAUUAACGUAACAACUCAUUAGUCAAAAAAAUAUUACUUAGAUUUCUUAGUUCUUCAUCCAUGCUACACCACACAAGUUUCUCCAACGACCAGUAAAUUUACCCCAUCGCGUAGGCAAAGGCAACAAUUAUGAGGUCAAUAACCUGCAUCGGCUGCAGGGCGGAAUGGAUAGAAUGCAUGCUUUGCUGAUAGUAACGAGUCCUGGCCUGCAAGUAGCUUCCCUUGCAUAUCUAUUGUAUAUAAUCUUCAAUAAGUCUACUCGUUACUGUGUAAAUAAAUAAAGAGACGUUCUCGCUCCAAAAGAAUAAAAGCUCAAAUAAGAGAGACUGAAUCUUCUCCCGUUCUAUUUUCUUUUCCAAUUACGUCAUUCGUCGAUCUUAUUGAUCAUGGUGGAGCCAUUUCAAUGCAUUUGCCCUUGUCGGAUAAUGAUGGGUGCUUCAACCAGAAGGAUGGGCAUUCCAAAGGCAGCACAUCCCAUCAAUCACGCAUCGCCCUAUGCAUCAAUUUUGCCACGCAUAAAGCUGGCCACACAAAACCCGAGGCCACCACGUCAUCCAAUCGAGAAGACGAACGGUUGUCAAACAUCCAAAGUCGUCACGCCGCAUAUUUCAAGCAAUGCGGCACCUUGGCGGAUAGCGUGGAGGAUCGCUGCGAAUGGAUAACGUGGCAGCCACCGACGUACAGCAUCCUGCGGUGCAAAAUGCACCACGUAGAGGACCGUUGCCCGCCUAAACUACCACAAAUAUAGCUAUCUGAUAUUUUUAAUAUAUAUAUAUAUAUAUAUAAUUUUUAAAGUUUUUUUUUACUAACGGCGAGUGACGCAGACACGUGAUUUCUAGCCAUUUGAGAUACAGUGAUGCGCUGUACUCAAAGAUCCGGACAUUAAGUUUGUCGUUUUAUCAAGAUCACUAUUCCCGGAUUGAUGGCCUGGAAGCUAAGUGGGGCCAAGGGAUUUGGCAUAUACCAAAUUAGAAGAUGCCAUAUCACAUUCUCUUUCGUUACUUAAAAAAAAAAGACAAAUCAUUAACAUCUCAAAAUCUGCAAAUAGUGAGGCCAUGGUGUCGUUACAUUUUAUACUUUAGUUGCAUCAGUACUAAAACAAAGCACCGCCUCAGUUUGAACACAAAAAACAUUGGAAAGGAAAGGAAAUCUUCACACCACCAAAAUAUAUAGAGCCAACAUCACAAGGCCAGAACAAACCGGCACUUAUUUGGGUGUCAGGCUGUCAGACCCAAAUACAUCACCCUAAACACCAUGUCAAACCAUGUCACGCUUACAUAAUAUAGAAACAGAAAGGGAAGAUAUAUAGAUAUGGGAAAGGAAAGUUCCAUCCACUCUAGAAGAGGUGAUGAUGCUUCUUCCCAUGAGAUUCCUCAGCUUCCUCCUUGGCUUCCUUCUUCUCAUGGUGCUCAUGGAAGGCAUACCCUCCGCUGCCCACCGCCACGGCCGCAGCCACCUCCUCCUCUAUCUUAUGCCUGUGUGCAUGCUCCGGAUCCUUCUUGGCCUCAUGCUUCUCAUACUGAAACAUUGGUUGUGAUAAAAUCACAAACAAAAUCACAAUGUUUAAUUACCAAUCGAUCUCUAGAUUUUGAUAUGGAUAAAGUGAAGCUUAAAAAACAAAAAAUAAUUAUAACCAAAUUAAGAACAGUGUUGUUUUCUUAACAUUAUCAUCUUUCGUUUUCGAUUAUACCAAAUAAUAACAAAAAAGGCUUCUUAUGGUGGACCCCACGAGUCGUGGAUACGUGUCAAGCAUGACGAAUACCAGUCUAGAUUUUAUAGAUCUUCGUCUGUACCCGACGAUCAGUGAUACAGCCCACAAGACAAGAAGAAGAAUGGUAUGGUGCUCUGCGGGAACAAGUUAAGAUGUGAAAUGAAUAAUACCAGACCAAAGGCGCCGGCGGCUAUCGCGCCCAUCUCGCCGAGAUGCUCCUUCUGCUUGUGGUGCUUCUCCUCCUUCUCAUAAUCCUCGUACCUCCCCUCGUUGGACUCCGAGACCACCUCCGUUGUCUGGGCGUAGCCGGCGGUGUACCCGCCUUCGCCGCCGUAGCCGGCGCCGUAGCCGCCUUCGCCGCCGUAGCCGCCUUCGCCGUAGCCGCUUCCGGUGGAGUAGGCCGUCUCCGAGUACUCCACGGGCUUUUCCUCCUUGUCGUGGUGGAAGUGGUGGUGGUGGUGGUGCUUCUCCUCCGACAUCGGUGAUCGAUCGAUGGCUUAAAUCAGG
rnacentral:lncRNA from 1 species